GCAGACGUAUCGAAGUGGUCAUAACGAGCCGCACUCGAAAUGCGGUCGCCGGGCAACUGGCGCGUGGGUUCGAAUCCCACCGUCUGCG
rnacentral:tRNA from 1 species